GGUUAAGCUCACUCCCAACCCAAUGUGAACGUUACCAAACUGUUGCCUCGGCGGGGUCACGCCCCGGGUGCGUCGCAGCCCCGGAACCAGGCGCCCGCCGGAGGAACCAACCAAACUCUUUCUGUAGUCCCCUCGCGGACGUAUUUCUUACAGCUCUGAGCAAAAAUUCAAAAUGAAUCAAAACUUUCAACAACGGAUCUCUUGGUUCUGGCAUCGAUGAAGAACGCAGCGAAAUGCGAUAAGUAAUGUGAAUUGCAGAAUUCAGUGAAUCAUCGAAUCUUUGAACGCACAUUGCGCCCGCCAGUAUUCUGGCGGGCAUGCCUGUCCGAGCGUCAUUUCAACCCUCGAACCCCUCCGGGGGAUCGGCGUUGGGGAUCGGGACCCCUCACACGGGUGCCGGCCCCGAAAUACAGUGGCGGUCUCGCCGCAGCCUCUCCUGCGCAGUAGUUUGCACAACUCGCACCGGGAGCGCGGCGCGUCCACGUCCGUAAAACACCCAACUUUCUGAAAUGUUGACCUCGGAUCAGGUAGGAAUACCCGCUGAACUUAAGCAUAUCAAAAGCCGGAAAGAA
rnacentral:rRNA from 1 species